CAAAGGUGUAAUAUACAAGCUUAGUGCAAAUUAGUAAACCUUUUAAUCUAUAUGCUUAUUACAUUGGACUAAUUUUUUCUUUCAUGAUGAUUCAUGGGUGUCUAAACUUGUAAAAUGAUUCAUGCUUCACUCAUUCGGUGAUCCAGGAGAACCACUUUUCUCUACUGCAACAUGAAAUUGUAAAACUCAAAAGAGAUAUAGAAAAGAUGCGCAGUGAAUUGAGGUUGGUCUUCACAAACUAUAUUUUCUUAGUACCACUUCCAUAUUACGGUGUGCUUGUUUUGAAAUUUGUAAUUUUUUC
rnacentral:lncRNA from 1 species